rnacentral:rRNA from 1 species
GACGUAGGGCGCGAGCGUUGUCCGGAUUUAUUGGGCGUAAAGAGCUCGUAGGCGGCUUGUCGCGUCGACUGUGAAAACCCGCAGCUCAACUGUGGGCCUGCAGCUGAUACGGGCGGGCUGGAGUUCGGUAGGGGAGACUGGAAUUCCUGGUGUAGCGGUGAAAUGCGCAGAUAUCAGGAGGAACACCGGUGGCGAAGGCGGGUCUCUGGGCCGAUACUGACGCUGAGGAGCGAAAGCGUGGGGAGCGAACAGG